rnacentral:tRNA from 1 species
GCGCCUGUGGUUUAAUGGUAGAACAUGAGCUUCCCAAGCUUGGGGCGAGGGUUCGAUUCCCUCCAGGCGUA